UCGCCUCCUCGCCUUCAACCCAUCGACAAUCGAGUAUCGACAGUGCUUCUGUGCUUCUUCGAGGCUUCGACGCUCCUCCUCCAAUCUUCAAACUCCAAUCUCAGCAUUCACCACGGAAUCAAGUGUAGAAUCUCGUAAUGGAAUACAUUAGUUUGUGACAAUCUUGACGAAGCCAAGCGUCUGAGCUGGACUGGGGAAAGGUGUAAAGUUGUAACUACGGAUGGAAUUCUCCUUACCGAAGCUGGUACUAUGACUGGAGGCACAACUGGUGGAAUGGAGGCAAGGUCGAACAAAUGGGACGAUAAGAAGAUGAAGUAUGCUGAAAAUUGGUUAUCCGUUACAUGUAUAUAAAUUAUGUAUAUUUUUGACACACGAUAAUAUUUGGGACGUGUGAUAUUUUGGGAUACGAAUUAAUAUAUAAUGAUAA